UACGUAGGGUGCAAGCGUUGUCCGGAAUUAUUGGGCGUAAAGAGCUUGUAGGCGGUUUGUCGCGUCUGCUGUGAAAUUUCGGGGCUCAACCCCGAACUUGCAGUGGGUACGGGCAGACUAGAGUGUGGUAGGGGAGACUGGAAUUCCUGGUGUAGCGGUGAAAUGCGCAGAUAUCGGGAGGAACACCAGUAGCGAAGGCGGCACUCUGGGCCGGUACUGACGCUGAGGAGCGAAAGCGUGGGGAGCAAACAGG
rnacentral:rRNA from 1 species